rnacentral:rRNA from 1 species
AUUGAACGCUGGCGGCAGGCCUAACACAUGCAAGUCGAACGAGUGGCGGACGGGUGAGUAAUGUCUGGGAAACUGCCUGUUGGAGGGGGAUAACUACUGGAAACGGUAGCUAAUACCGCAUACCAUCGGAUGUGCCCAGAUGGGAUUAGCUAGUAGGUGGGGUAAAGGGUCACCUAGGCGACGAUCCCUAGCUGGUCUGAGGGGAUGAACAGCCAACAUGGAACUGAGACACGGUCCAGACUCAUACGGGAGGCAGAAGUGGGGAACAGUGCACAAGGGGCGCAAGUCUGAUGCAGCCAUGCCGCGUGUAUGAAGAAGGCCUUCGGGUUGUAAAGUACUUUCAGCGGGGAGGCGUUACCCGCAGAAGAAGCAACGGCUAACUCCGUGCCAGCAGCCGCGGUAAUAC